CGUAUGUACGUCGAACUAUCAAAGAGUGAAUGAGAUAGAUAGAGAGAGAAAAAGAGAGAGAUAGAGAGAGAGAGAGAGAGAGAGAGAGAGAGAGAGAAAGAGAGAGGAUUUAUUUCUUUAAAGAACAAAAAGAUAAGAGACAAAUUUGAUCCUUCUCAAUUUUGCGGAUAAGAGAAGAAGUCUCUCCCUGGACCACUCGCGAGAAUUCAGUAUCGGAUGCGAGCAAUCUCGCGUCUCUCGUUGUCUCAGUGACGUAAUUGUAGUCGGUGAAUCGCCACUGUCGCUGGAGGCGGCGUUGCAUAAAACCGUUGGGCAAGGAAAAAAUUUUUAUUCGGUGAUGGAAUGAAAAGUUAUUCAAAACCGCAUCGACGUUUCUUCGACAUUUUAUAUCUACUAUAUCAUCGAUCAGUUUACCGAUAUUAUAUAAAUAUAAUCGAGUUUGAUCGAGGAGGAACGCUUCGGGGAUAUCGGAUUAUUUCGAUUGAUCGAUCUAUAUCGAUCAGAUCAAUCGAUCUAUUGUCGAUCGAUCGUUCGACUUCUGGAGAAAACGAGGACUAUUAUCUAGAUAUCCUCGAGAAAAUCGGAGCACGAAACGAUCCGUUUUCUCUUUCUCUCUCGUUCUACCGGUGAAAAGAAGCGUGCAGAUCUGCAGAGACUGAAACCCGUUUCGCGGUAGGAACCUUGUACGAGAGUUGCAUACCGAAAGCGUGGGACCAGUGACCCGUGGUGCAAAGCACGAACACCACCUAGAAUAUCCGACUCGCAUCUUUACUUUACGAGCUCUCAGAUUUUCUCUCUUCUCUAUCCAUCCGAUAUUACAUACAUAUACAUACAUAUAUAGAUAUAUAUAUAUGUGUAUAAAAAUAUAUUAUACAUAAUAUACAUAAUAUAUUAUAUAUA